GGUUUGAUCAUGGCUCAGAUUGAACGCUGGCGGCAGGCCUAACACAUGCAAGUCGAACGGUAGCACAGAGAGCUUGCUCUCGGGUGACGAGUGGCGGACGGGUGAGUAAUGUCUGGGAAACUGCCUGAUGGAGGGGGAUAACUACUGGAAACGGUAGCUAAUACCGCAUAACGUCGCAAGACCAAAGAGGGGGACCUUCGGGCCUCUUGCCAUCAGAUGUGCCCAGAUGGGAUUAGCUAGUAGGUGGGGUAACGGCUCACCUAGGCGACGAUCCCUAGCUGGUCUGAGAGGAUGACCAGCCACACUGGAACUGAGACACGGUCCAGACUCCUACGGGAGGCAGCAGUGGGGAAUAUUGCACAAUGGGCGCAAGCCUGAUGCAGCCAUGCCGCGUGUAUGAAGAAGGCCUUCGGGUUGUAAAGUACUUUCAGCGGGGAGGAAGGUGUUGUGGUUAAUAACCACAGCAAUUGACGUUACCCGCAGAAGAAGCACCGGCUAACUCCGUGCCAGCAGCCGCGGUAAUACGGAGGGUGCAAGCGUUAAUCGGAAUUACUGGGCGUAAAGCGCACGCANGCGGUCUGUCAAGUCGGAUGUGAAAUCCCCGGGCUCAACCUGGGAACUGCAUUCGAAACUGG
rnacentral:rRNA from 1 species